rnacentral:rRNA from 1 species
UGCCAGCCGCCGCGGUAAUACGGAGGGGGCGAGCGGUAUUCGGAAUUACUGGGCGUAAAGCGCGCGUAGGCGGCUUUGUAAGUCGGAUGUGAAAUCCCCGGGCUUAACCUGGGAACUGCAUUCGAUACUGCAGAACUAGAGUAUGGUAGAGGGAAGUGGAAUUUCCGGUGUAGCGGUGAAAUGCGUAGAUAUCGGAAGGAACACCAGUGGCGAAGGCGACUAACUGGACUGAUACUGACGCUGAGGUGCGAAAGUGUGGGGAGCAAACCGGAUUAGAUA